rnacentral:rRNA from 1 species
GACGAACGCUGGCGGCGUGCUUAACACAUGCAAGUCGAACGGGAUUUAGUAGACAGAAGCCUCGGCUAAAGAUUACUAAUGAGAGUGGCGAACGGGUGAGUAACGCGUGAGCAACCUGCCUAUGACAGUGGGAUAGCCUCGGGAAACCGGGAUUAAUACCGCAUAAAAUCGUAGAAACACAUGUUUUAACGGUCAAAGAUUUAUCGGUCAUAGAUGGGCUCGCGUCUGAUUAGCUAGUUGGUGAGAUAACAGCCCACCAAGGCGACGAUCAGUAGCCGGUCUGAGAGGAUGAACGGCCACAUUGGAACUGAGACACGGUCCAAACUCCUACGGGAGGCAGCAGUGGGGAAUAUUGCACAAUGGGGGAAACCCUGAUGCAGCGACGCCGCGUGAACGAAGAAGGUAUUCGUAUCGUAAAGUUCUGUCCUAUGGGAAGAUAAUGACAGUACCAUAGAAGAAAGCGCCGGCUAAAUACGUG